GUGCUCACUUUAGCAGCACAUACACUAAAAUUGGAAUGUUACAGAAAAGAUUAGCAUGGCCCCUUUACAAGCAUGAUGCACAAAUAUGUGAAAUGUUCCAUAUUUUU